rnacentral:rRNA from 1 species
CAUGGCCUUUUGAUUUUGAUUUAAGGUCUGUUCUGCUCAAUGAAAUUUUAAAUAGCUGCAGUAUACUGACUGUACAAAGGUAGCAUAAUAAUUUGUCUCUUUAUUGGGGACUGGAAUGAAGGAAUUGACGAGAAAAUAGCUGUCUCAAUUAAAUUAUAUUUAAUUUUACUUUUAAGUUCAAAGGCUUAAAUUUUUUUUUUAGACGAGAAGACCCUAUAGAGCUUUAUAUUAUUUUUAAUUAAAAUUAUUUAGUAAUUUAUUUAUUUUAUUUUAUUUAUAGUAUUUAAUUGGGGUGAUUUAAAAAUUUAAUUAACUUUUUAUUUAUAUAAUUACUUAUUUGUAAAUUUUAAUUCUAGAUUUUCUAAGAAAAAAAUAAGUUACCUUAGGGAUAACAGCGUUAUUUUGUUUUAGAGUUCUUAUUUAAAACAAUGUUUGCGACCUCGAUGUUGGAUUAAAAUUUAUUUUUGAUGUAGAAGUCAAAAUAUUAAGUCUGUUCGACUUUUAAAAUUUUACAUGAUCUGAGU